rnacentral:rRNA from 1 species
GAGCUUGCUCCUCUGGAUUAGUGGCGAACGGGUGAGUAACACGUGAGCAAUGUGCCCUUGACUCUGGAAUAAGCGCUGGAAACGGCGUCUAAUACCGGAUACGACCUUCGGAGGCAUCUCCUGUUGGUGGAAAGAACUUCGGUCAAGGAUCAGCUCACGGCCUAUCAGCUUGUUGGUGAGGUAACGGCUCACCAAGGCGACGACGGGUAGCCGGCCUGAGAGGGUGACCGGCCACACUGGGACUGAGACACGGCCCAGACUCCUACGGGAGGCAGCAGUGGGGAAUAUUGCACAAUGGGCGCAAGCCUGAUGCAGCAACGCCGCGUGAGGGACGACGGCCUUCGGGUUGUAAACCUCUUUUAGCAGGGAAGAAGCGAAAGUGACGGUACCUGCAGAAAAAGCACCGGCUAACUACGUGCCAGCAGCCGCGGUAAUACGUAGGGUGCAAGCGUUGUCCGGAAUUAUUGGGCGUAAAGAGCUCGUAGGCGGUUUGUCGCGUCUGCUGUGAAAUCCCGAGGCUCAACCUCGGGCUUGCAGUGGGUACGGGCAGACUAGAGUGCGGUAGGGGAGAUUGGAAUUCCUGGUGUAGCGGUGGAAUGCGCAGAUAUCAGGAGGAACACCGAUGGCGAAGGCAGAUCUCUGGGCCGUAACUGACGCUGAGGAGCGAAAGCAUGGGGAGCAAACAGGCUUAGAUACCCU